rnacentral:misc_RNA from 1 species
GACAAAGCUCCAUAUUCCCAUUGGGUAGUCAUUCUUGAAAUCUUUCUAAAAAGACUAAGAAAGAUGGCUCUCAAAGCUGUUCACGUCUCUGAUGUGCCUAAUCUUGAUCAAGUCCCAGAAAAUGCAGCAUGUUCCCUCUGUACCACCCGCUUCACCAAUAAAAGUGUGAAUGAUCAUGAAGGUGACCAUGAUGGCACAGAACAACUUCCAUUUAAAUUCCCAAAAUUUGUGGUGAUGGGACACAGAGGUAGUGGAAUGAACAUGCUGCAAUGUUCUGAUAUAAGAAUGAAAUCCAUUAAAGAGAACUCAAUCCUCUCAUUUAAUGCUGCCGCAAAAUUGCCUGUGGAUUUCAUUGAAUUUGACGUUCAGAGUGGUUGUUCGGCGAGGUGAAUGAAGCUUUUCACCGAGCAACAAAAAGCUGACAGGAUUCUAUCUCCAUCCGCCAAGAAACCUGACGCAGAUUAAGUCACGAUUUUGGAAUUUUGUCUUGUAGGCACGUCCAUAUGCAGGGGAUUGAUGUUUUCUUGUAGCUGAUCCAUUUUUUGUCUGAUUCCUUGUCUGCAUUUAUGUGAUGUGUUCAUUUUGUUCUAUCUAAUCUCAUCUAGAUUCAUCUGGCGUAAAACAUUUUUAAUUUCUUGUUUGCAUUUCAAGACUUUUUUUCCCCCAAAAACUGUACUCUUUUCAGCAGGGAACUGAUAAGAAUUUAAAUCAGGUGUACUAUCAAAGCCAACUUCUCAAUUUGUGUGAAGAGACAUAAACUUGUGAAAUUGACAAUUUGAUAAUAUAUCUCAUUGAUUAAGGUUCGAAACAAUUUCUACUUUGGGCCAUAAGUCCACUCCAAAAGCCCAAAUACCUACACUGGUUAUUAAAUUUCACUUGAUUUUGGCACCUUUUGCCCCUUUAAAUGGGGAAAAUUUCUGGUUCUGUUUUUUAGUGACUGUCAGAAUUACAAUCUCCAUUGAAGGGCACUGAUUAGUUUACUUCUGGUGUUUCGUUGUGCCCGUUUCUUCUUUCUUUCUUUCUUUUACUUUUUGGAGAGGGAAGAUCCUUUAGAAGGAACUGUAAACCAACAAACAAAAAAACCAUAUUUGUUGUAGGUGACCAAAGAUGACUGUCCAGUCAUUUUUCACGACAACUUCAUCCUCACUGAAGACCAGGGUGCCAUUGUUGGGAAAAGAGUUACAGAAAUCACUUUAGCUGAAUUUCUCUCCUAUGGACCACAGAAGGAGCCUGGAAACGUCGCAAAGCCUUUAUUUAGGAAAACAAAAGAUGGGAGAAUUUUUGAAUGGAAAGUUGAAGAAGAUGAUCCUCUUUGUACACUGCAAGAGGUCUUCCAGAAAGUUGAUGGUUCAAUAGGCUUCAAUAUUGAAUUGAAGUUUGAUGAUCAAACCAUCUACAAGCAGGAAGAAUUCGCACACAUUCUUCAAGUAAUCUUGAAGGUGGUGUUUGAGCAUGCCAAGGACAGACCUAUCAUGUUCUCUAGCUUUCAACCUGAUGCAGCUCAGUUGAUGAGAAAAUUGCAGAGAAAAUAUCCUGUCUUCUUCCUGACUAAUGGGGGAUCUGAAAUUUACACGGACAUAAGAAGGAACUCCUUGGAUGAGGCCAUCAAGGUUUGCAUGGAGGGUGGCCUGCAAGGAAUUGUAUCUGAAGUCAAGGCUAUCUUUAGAAAUCCAGAAGCAGUGACAAGAGUUAAAGAGUCUAAGCUUUCCCUCAUUAGUUAUGGCCUAUUGAAGUAAGCAUUGAAUCGUUUCUGUUUUGAUAAUAUGUGCCAAGUUCUUUCAUAAAUUUUAAUUGGAGCUGUCACCAUUGAGUUUCACUAACACAGUAAGAAAUAGCUGUGCAUUUCGCAGAAAUGUGCCCGAGGUGGUGUGCGUGCAGCAUUUGAUGGGUGUUGAAGGGGUGAUUGUUGACCUUGUUCGAGAGAUUACAGAGGCAGUCCCACAUUUCACUGACCCAGCAAAGGUAGGUGAAGAAUUGAGAUUGUUUGGCAAGGAAGGGAAGAUGAAAUUUGAAGCUCUAAUACCUGCUGAACUCUCAAUAGACAAUCUCAUUUGUCCAGUGACUCUAUAAUCCUGCCAAGGAAUAUCUGAUUAAAUUUGCAACCUUGGACAGUUUAUGAGUUAACAUGCUGGGAUAAAGUGAGCAAGAGGGUUGAGAAUCGGUUGCAUGUACAAAGGUUUUAUUAUAAUCAUUGAUUAUGAUAGAUUUUAUAUAGAUGUUGUGGUUAUAAUACAACUACUGUAUAUAAAACGAUUGUAUUCUAAAUCUUUACUAUUAGUGUGGAACACUCUUGUUGCUUGAGGUUGUCUCCAGUGUACUAUCUUCCUAGAAGCACUUUGCUUCGUGUACAUGAAAUGUGGGUAUUGAAUAUAAUGCUAUGUUAUUG